AUGGCGAGGAGGCAAACGGCGGCAGCUCUUGGACUUGGGCGAGGCUUCGGCUCGGCGGCGCAGGAACGGCGAGGAGGGACUUGGCAUUGGGGCGGCACGCUGAAGGUCGGGGACGCGAGCGUCCAUGGCGACAGAGUGCACUAUUUGAGACAAAGAGAGAAAUUGAGAUGUGUGAGAGAGAAAAAGGAGGAAGAAAGAGAGCACGGGAAGAAGGGUGGCACUCAUCUGCUGGCUCCGGCAAGCUGUGGUUGGAGGUCGCCGGCGGCGGCGUGCAAAACCACAGGAGGAGCUCCUCUCAUGGGGCUCGGGUGCGGGGAAUUGUGGGAGGAGGCUGCGAGGACGGGCACGCUCGGGCGCUCGCUCGAUCUCCUCGGGCGUAGAGGUUGCCGGCUGAUGCGGGGAGGGGAGGAGGUGGCGGCGUCGGCGGGGAGAUUGGGAGCAGGGGGAUGGAUGGAUCUGAUCUAG
rnacentral:rRNA from 1 species